rnacentral:rRNA from 1 species
CCCUUAGAUGUCCGGGGCUGCACGCGCGCUACACUGAAUGAAUCAGCGUGCUAGAAAACCUUGUUUGACAUGGCUAGGUAACCCAUUGAAAAUCAUUCGUGAUUGGGAUCGGGACUUGCAAAUGUGUCCCUUGAACGAGGAAUUCCCAGUAAGUGCGGGUCAUCAGCUCGCGUUGAUUACGUCCCUGCCCUUUGUACACACCGCCCGUCGCACCUACCGAUUGGAUGGUCCGGUGAAGCCUCGGGAUUGUGGUUCUUGCCGCUUUAUUGUGGCGUGACCGCGAGAACUUGUCUAAACCUUAUCAUCUAGAGGAAGGUGAAGUCGUAACA